UGGGGAAUUUUGGACAAUGGGCGAAAGCCUGAUCCAGCAAUGCCGCGUGUGUGAAGAAGGCCUUCGGGUUGUAAAGCACUUUUGUCCGGAAAGAAAUCCUUGGCUCUAAUACAGUCGGGGGAUGACGGUACCGGAAGAAUAAGCACCGGCUAACUACGUGCCAGCAGCCGCGGUAAUACGUAGGGUGCAAGCGUUAAUCGGAAUUACUGGGCGUAAAGCGUGCGCAGGCGGUUUGCUAAGACCGAUGUGAAAUCCCCGGGCUCAACCUGGGAACUGCAUUGGUGACUGGCAGGCUAGAGUAUGGCAGAGGGGGGUAGAAUUCCACGUGUAGCAGUGAAAUGCGUAGAGAUGUGGAGGAAUACCGAUGGCGAAGGCAGCCCCCUGGGGCCAAAUACUGACGCUCAUGCACGAAAGCGUGGGGAGCAAACAGGAUUAGAUACCCUGGUAGUCCACGCCCUAAACGAUGUCAACUAGUUGUUGGGGAUUCAUUUCCUUAGUAACGUAGCUAACGCGUGAAGUUGACCGCCU
rnacentral:rRNA from 1 species